rnacentral:rRNA from 1 species
AAAACUUUUAACAAUGGAUCUCUUGGUUCUCGUAUCGAUGA